CUAAGAAUAUUCCGCAAUGGACGGAAGUCUGACGGAGCGACGCCGCGUGGAUGACGAAGGCCGAAAGGUUGUAAAGUUCUUUUGCUGGGGAAGAAUAACCGCAGGAGGGAAUGCCUGUGGGAUGACAAGAACCGGCGAAUAAGCCCCGGCCAACUACGUGCCAGCAGCCGCGGUAACACGUAGGGGGCGAGCGUUGUUCGGAAUUACUGGGCGUAAGGGCAUGUAGGCGGCUUGGAAAGCCUGGCGUGAAAGUCUGCAGCUUAACUGCAGGGGUGCGCUGGGAACUGCUGAGCUUGAGUGACGGAGAGGGAGCUGGAAUUCCUGGUGUAGGGGUGAAAUCUGUAGAUAUCAGGAAGAACACCGAUGGCGAAGGCAAGCUCCUGGCCGAUGACUGACGCUGAGGUGCGAAAGUGUGGGGAUCAAACAGGAUUAGAUACCCUGGUAGUCCACACAGUCAACGAUGUGCACUAGGUGCUGGGGCGGUAGCUUCGGUGCCGGNGCGAACGUGGUAAGUGCACCGCCUGGGGAGUAUGCUCGCAAGGGUG
rnacentral:rRNA from 1 species